CCUACGGGAGGCAGCAGUGGGGAAUUUUGGACAAUGGGCGAAAGCCUGAUCCAGCCAUUCCGCGUGAGUGAAGAAGGCCUUCGGGUUGUAAAGCUCUUUCGCAAGGGAAGAAAACUUAGUCUCUAACAUAGACUGAGGUUGACGGUACCUUGAUAAGAAGCACCGGCUAACUACGUGCCAGCAGCCGCGGUAAUACGUAGGGUGCGAGCGUUAAUCGGAAUUACUGGGCGUAAAGCGUGCGCAGGCGGUUUUGUAAGUCAGAUGUGAAAUCCCCGAGCUCAACUUGGGAACUGCGUUUGAAACUACAAGACUAGAAUAUGUCAGAGGGGGGUAGAAUUCCACGUGUAGCAGUGAAAUGCGUAGAGAUGUGGAGGAAUACCAAUGGCGAAGGCAGCCCCCUGGGAUAAUAUUGACGCUCAUGCACGAAAGCGUGGGGAGCAAACAGGAUUAGAUACCCUGGUAGUCCACGCCCUAAACGAUGUCUACUAGUUGUUGGUGGAGUAAAAUCCAUGAGUAACGCAGCUAACGCGUGAAGUAGACCGCCUGGGGAGUACGGUCGCAAGAUUAAAACUCAAAUUGAAUUGACGGCUGAGACGNGCGAGACGACGACGAGGAGGAGG
rnacentral:rRNA from 1 species